AGCAGUCGCCGCGGGAAUACGUAGGGUGCAAGCGUUAAUCGGAAUUACUGGGCGUAAAGCGUGCGCAGGCGGUUUUGUAAGACAGAGGUGAAAUCCCAGGGCUCAACCUGGGAACUGCCUUUGUGACUGCAAGGCUAGAGUACGGCAGAGGGGGAUGGAAUUCCGCGUGUAGCAGUGAAAUGCGUAGAUAUGCGGAGGAACACCGAUGGCGAAGGCAAUCCCCUGGGCCUGUACUGACGCUCAUGCACGAAAGCGUGGGGAGCAAACAGGAUUAGAUACCCGUGUAGUCCCUGUCUCUUAUAC
rnacentral:rRNA from 1 species